UACGGGGGGAGCAAGCGUUGUUCGGAUUUACUGGGCGUAAAGGGCGCGUAGGCGGUCAGCACAAGUCAGUUGUGAAAUCUCCGGGCUUAACUCGGAAAGGUCAACUGAUACUGUGCGACUAGAGUGCAGAAGGGGCAACUGGAAUUCUCGGUGUAGCGGUGAAAUGCGUAGAUAUUGGGAAGAACACCGGUGGCGAAGGCGCUCUACUGGGCCAUAACUGACACUGAUGGACGAAAGCUAGGGGAGCGAAAGGG
rnacentral:rRNA from 1 species